AUACAGUCCGACUACGCCCACGUUUUGCGUGAGUGUACUGUUUGUUCAUGAUACUAAAAAUCAUAAUUUUUGCAGUUAAUGUUGUUGUUUAUAGUAGAUCUGUUGCUCAAUGUAAAGUAUAGUUUCACAACAACAAGGUCGCAACUGCAUGCAUAAACUAGUACUCUUGUUUGUCAAUGGUCAUUGCCGUACUAUAACAGAUUAUAGAUCCUCAAGUACCAAGCUGUAUAAUGUGCCUUGAUUUCAACAUAUCAACCAUGGAUGCACAAUUGAGAGAGUGAUGAGGUACACAAUUUGAAUGUUAAGAUAGUUUUUUUAUGUUAACUGCAGGUGGGCAAACAUUAUCACCAUAUAGGGAAACAAUACAGUGAGUGAGUUAUUGUUAACAGUAUCUAUUCAACCCACAAUCACUCCCGACUGUUCACCUGACCCACCAGAAAAGUACAACUGUGAUCUGAGGUUUUUUUGGGCCCUAGCAAAAUGGAGUAUUGCUUCUCCCCUUUGUUAAUAUUAUUGAUCAUUGGCACACUUUCAAAUUGUGAAGCUACGUGUAAUCAAAUUGUAUCAUCAAAUGGAAACCCCAGUAUUGAAACAAGAGUAUCAAUUGGUGAAUGUGUAAUCUUACAUUGUACACUAAAUGGUACAACACAGUGGAAACUGAAUGGAACUGAUAUUAGUAAUGAUGAUGCUCAUUACAAUAUCAAUACUACUAGUGGUACACUGACUAUACAAGAAGUGAGGAGCACUGAUACUGGAAACUAUACUUGUGGCUCAGGAAGUAUUUCUUUAAUAAUGAAAAGUAAAUAAUAUCCUAAUAUGACUAUAAAUUGAUCCUACUUCUAAAGUAAAACAAAAAUUGCAUUCAAUUUAAGUUUUUCAAUCCUUUUUAGUACCUUUUAUCACUGUUACGGGUCAAUACACUAACCUCACUGUUGGUAGUAGUGUCAGUAUUAACUGUACUACAAUGCCCUCCAUCCCUAGCAGUGUAAUACAAUGGCAUUCAUCGUCAUUUAAUACUGAUAGCAAUGAACUGAUCAUUAAUCCAGUGAUGCUCUCUCAUAAUAAUAACAUAAUCACUUGUGUAGUAUCAUCAGAUUUACUGGCUAUAAAUCUGACAAAGACUAUUACUAUUAGUGUAAUAGAUACUCUUACUGUGCAAUCACUAUCUUCUUAUGUUAUUGGUGAUAAUGUAUCAAUAGUGUGUACUAUUAGUCUCAUCAGUGCUGAUGUUUCUUCACUUGUAGUGAACUGGUUUAAAAAUGAUAAAAUGAUACCAUCAAAUAAUAUCACUAAUAAUAAUGGUUCAUUAUCAACAUUUUAUAGUAUCCUGACAUUAACAGCAAUUUCACCAACUGAUGCUGGAGUAUAUAUUUGUAAUGCAUCAAUUAAUGGAUCAGAUAUAAAAAUUUCCGGUUCCAAAGAUUUGUGUUUAAAAGGUACAAUAUUAAUACA